rnacentral:rRNA from 1 species
UUACGACCAGGGCUACACACGUGCUACAAUGGCGCAUACAAAGAGAAGCGACCUCGCGAGAGCAAGCGGACCUCAUAAAGUGCGUCGUAGUCCGGAUUGGAGUCUGCAACUCGACUCCAUGAAGUCGGAAUCGCUAGUAAUCGUGGAUCAGAAUGCCACGGUGAAUACGUUCCCGGGCCUUGUACACACCGCCCGUCACACCAUGGGAGUGGGUUGCAAAAGAAGUAGGUAGCUUAACCUUCGGGAGGGCGCUUACCACUUUGUGAUUCAUGACUGGGGUGAAGUCGUAACAAGGUAACCGUAGGGGAACCUGCGGUUGGAUCACCUCCUUACCUUAAAGAAGC